rnacentral:rRNA from 1 species
UACGGGGGGGGCAAGCGUGGUUCGGAAUUACUGGGCGUAAAGGGCUCGUAGGCGGCCAACUAAGUCAGACGUGAAAUCCCUCGGCUUAACCGGGGAACUGCGUCUGAUACUGGUUGGCUUGAAUCCGGGAGAGGGAUGUGGAAUUCCAGGUGUAGCGGUGAAAUGCGUAGAUAUCUGGAGGAACACCGGUGGCGAAGGCGGCAUCCUGGACCGGUAUUGACGCUGAGGAGCGAAAGCCAGGGGAGCAAACGGG